ACUGUUGUAAGGGAAGAACGUUAUUAGUAGGAAAUGGCUAAUAAGUGACGGUACCUUACCAGAAGGGACGGCUAACUACGUGCCAGCAGCCGCGGUAAUACGUAGGUCCCGAGCGUUAUCCGGAAUUAUUGGGCGUAAAGGGCACGUAGGCGGACAAAUAAGUUUGAUGUCAAAUAUGAUGGCUCAACCAUCAAGAGGCGUUGAAAACUGUUUAUCUAGAAUCUCGGAGAGGUAAGUGGAAUUCCAUGUGUAGCGGUGGAAUGCGUAGAUAUAUGGAGGAACACCAAUGGCGAAGGCAGCUUACUGGACGAAGAUUGACGCUGAGGUGUGAAAGCGUGGGUAGCAAACAGGAUUAGAUACCCUGGUAG
rnacentral:rRNA from 1 species